CCUACGGGAGGCAGCAGUGGGGGAUAUUGGACAAUGGGGGGAACCCUGAUCCAGCGACGCCGCGUGAGUGAAGAAGUAUUUCGGUGUGUAAAGCUCUGUCAGCAGGGAAGAAAGAAAUGACGGUACCUGACCAAGAAGCACCGGCUAACUACGUGCCAGCAGCCGCGGUAAUACGUAGGGGGCAAGCGUUAUCCGGAAUUACUGGGUGUAAAGGGAGCGUAGACGGUUAAGUAAGUCUGGAGUGAAAGGCCGGGGCUCAACCCCGGGACUGCUCUGGAAACUAUUUAACUUGAGUGCAGGAGAGGUAAGCGGAAUUCCUAGUGUAGCGGUGAAAUGCGUAGAUAUUAGGAGGAACACCAGUGGCGAAGGCGGCUUACUGGACUGUAACUGACGUUGAGGCUCGAAAGCGUGGGGAGCAAACAGGAUUAGAUACCCCAGUAGUC
rnacentral:rRNA from 1 species